rnacentral:rRNA from 1 species
UACGUAGGGCGCAAGCGUUGUCCGGAAUUAUUGGGCGUAAAGAGCUCGUAGGCGGUCUGUCGCGUCCGUUGUGAAAACUCGAGGCUCAACCUCGGGCUUGCAGUGGAUACGGGCAGACUAGAGUGCGGUAGGGGAGACUGGAAUUCCUGGUGUAGCGGUGGAAUGCGCAGAUAUCAGGAGGAACACCGAUGGCGAAGGCAGGUCUCUGGGCCGAUACUGACGUGAGGAGCGAAAGCGUGGGGAGCGAACAGG